UAUAUAAUAUAUUACCAAAAAUAAAAUUAAAUAUAAAAUUACAACAAAUAAAAAUAAAUAAAACAGUCUGCAAUUCGCGUGAAGAUAGUGAGAACAUGGAAGACACCCAUUGGUUCAAUUCGACCCAGUACAUGUUUGGUUAUUGGAGAUGAAAAAGGUACAACCAUCGACGCAACUAUACCUUGGGAAGUUAAAUUCCUGUUUGGAAUAAAUCUAGACGAAGGUGAUUGGUUUGAAAUCUAUGGGUUUUAACCCAUGUUCUAAAACUCGGGCGAGUUGCCGAGUAUGCGGCCGCGUUUGCGCAAACCGGAGCCACGCCGUGGCGAAUUGAGGCUGUUCGGAAGUAUAACGCGGACAAGCGAGUUAAGUUCGAGUUUACUGCUUUAUUGCAAAAGUCGGCGAAUUAUUAUAGAAAUCGGGUUAUUUGAGUUGUAGAAAACUUGUAUGAUUUGGUUUUAAAAUCAUAUGCUGAGUUUAAGAUAUGUAAUUAGUGAAUGAAACCUAAAGAAAACAAGUUAAAACAUGUCAUUAUCGUGAAAAAAAAUGUCUGCGACGAAAUACACAUUUUCAGAUCUACGAACUGAAGAAGAAGGUGGGGACAAGAUGGUCUUUUAAUACUCACUAAAGACAAAACGAGUAAAAAUAACAAUAAAAAUAUGACUUGAGUUUCGAUUCUGAGAACUCUAGUUGUGUAAAGGGAGCAAAAGCCACUAAGCCACUCUGCAUUCUUACGCUCAUCAUACAUAAAAUAAUAUAUAUAUAGUUAAAUUGUAUAAAUUAAUCUCCGCGUACUUCCCGAUUUUCUCUCAAUUCGCUAGGUCCGGACCGCCCGCACGCGUUAUGCCUAGCGCAAUUCCGAACAGGAGUUUUAACUAAUUCAUGCUUGUGGACUGAUACGCACAACAAGUAACAAAUAUCAUAUCAUCCUCACCCAAAACGCAGUGUUAUUCAACCUAUGACAGAGUUUAACUUUCUUUGCUGUGCGAAUUACAAAACCAUCCUCCGUGGUUUAUCGCAUCCUAAGUUCUAUAUUGGUAUGGGCCAAAAUUUCAGUGACAAGUUUUCUUAGUUUUAUGAUUCAGUUCUUUCCAUCUUUCAUAGUAGCAUAUAAAUUCGAUAGUCUAUAUAUUAAUGUCUAACCACGUUUUCGUAUGUCACUUAGAUCUAUGCAGAGCUUUGGUUCAUGUAGGCCCUCUCGAAGAUUUAAUUCAACUGCAACCCAACCAGAUUAAUGGUGGACACCAAAGUAGAAUUCAAUUUUCCAUCAUAAAUUUUGAGUGAGUGCUAUUCUUUUUUUUUUCUUUUUAAGUUUACACCACUUCAUAUUUAAUAAAAUCACACAUUAUAUUUUAUGCAGUUGUGUUGAAAUCAACUGUAUUGCCUAUGAAACUGUAGCUGAGAAAUUAUACGAAAACUGGUUUUCAUCAACUGCAAAGGUUGUUGUUUGUAUAUUGAAGCUAUGGUGAAUUGAGUGGGGCGAAGGUUGGUUGAGCUAUAUCACAAAUUUUGAAGAAUGUUGGGAUAUUUUAUGUGAUCCUCAAAUUCCUGACCUAGUUUACUUCAAAUCAAUGAUUCCAUUAUAUCCCUUUUGAUUUUAAAGCAACAGCGUCCAAGACUUUGACGUUAGAAUUAUGGGAGUUCUAUGUCAAUUUUUGCUUUUGGGUUUUUUUUUAAGUUGAAAACAAAUUAUGUGUUCUUGAGGGUUCAAUAAGCUUCAAUUGCUUUUAGUUUGCAACUAUGUUUUUCUUACUUUCGAGAGUUAUAUCCCAAUAUUAUAUUUAUAUUUGAAUC